CACAAGGGAGGGGGAGGGGGAUUCAUGGUUUGAUAUGCAGCCUUCCCAUUAAACUCCCAAUUUUCAGCCCCACAUUUGACUCCCAUCCUUUAUCAUACCUGGCAUUGUCAAGACCAAGACACUCCAGGCUUCUGCAGAGAAAGAGCAACUUCUUCCUCUGAAGCAUCACCUCCAUGCAUACUCCAGGCUGUGGCUUCCUCCACCAUGCUCCAUCAGUCACCAUUCCUCCAUUGACUUCUAUCUUCCAGAAAUUUGUUGAAAUCUCUCUUUUGCUGAUGGACCUGUUCCCACUCUCUUCAUCAUUGUGGAUUUAUACCCUUUUUAAUCCCUUUACAAUGAUUUUAGCAGGGUCUCAGGAGGAAGUGGAGAAAAACACAUGAUACCUUCUUCCUGGAGUCCUCCGUCUUCCUGUUCCAAUUUGGACGGAUUGCUCUGUAGGCCUGCGGUGCAGCUGUCAUCCUGGGACGUCCCUUCAUUAUUCUGGGUUGGACCCAAUCUUUCUUGGACCCCAUAUCUUCCUCUUUCUUAGUUUACUCCCUUGUAGUGGACAUUGUAGUUGUUCUGCAGCAUCCAUUCCACUCCUCUCCCGCUGUAUAACAACUAUGCAAUGUGAGUGGGAUUGACCCCACCACCAGCUCUAGGUGUAGGCCUUUAUUGGUAUAAACUGAUCUGAGUAAUUUCACCCUCCUAGCCACAGUGAUGACUGGUUCAGGGAUGACCCAAUCACAAUGAGGCUUAGGACUUUUAUUCAGCUUUUGAGGGAGGAGAUGACCUAUCUUCCCUUGGAUAAGAACAAAGAAGCAUGUAGCCUGGUUGCUGCUGUUAGCCAUCUUGUGAACAUGUGGAAGGCCUACCUGAGGAUGGAGCUGAAAAAUGGAGGAGGCAGAGCCAAGAGAAUCACAGAAAUGGAACCAUAUUCCGGAUCAUGCCAUGCCUGAAAUCUCCCUGCCUGUGGACUCUUCAGUUAAGUGAGCCAAUGAAUUGCAUUUACUAUUCAAGACAGUUUGAGUUGGAUUUUGUAUUGCUUGUCCCUGAAAGCAUUCUAAUUUAUGUUUUUGGUUUUCUCACUCUGGAAAGGGGAUGGGUGCAUGUUUGGUUAUAUGAGGUAUAUUUGCACCGUAUUAGGUGGAAGCUUUUUUUAAAAGCAUAAAUACGGGAGGAAGGCUAUAUGUGGAUGUUGGAUGACCAAAGGAGCGAACUCUACUGUUCUCUAGCAUCUAAUUUCCCAUGCUGUUUUUUGGGGGAAUCCCUGCCAAAUUGGGAGGCAUGGCCCUAUUUCCCACUAUGGAAACUGAUGGUGGUCAGAUAUUUUCUUUCCCAGCCCGCCAGGCAACAAGGGCUGAAUACUCUGUUCAUGGCCUUGAAUCUGGAACCAGCAACAAAAAGAAGGCAGGAAUAUACAAAAUUAACAAAAGGAUGAUAGAUUAGGAGAAUAUAUAAGGAAGAUAGUAAACCCAAUAGGAAAAUGGGCAUAGGAUAUGAAGAGUAAUUUAUAGAAGGGGAAACUUGAGUUUACACAAGGGGAAACUUGAAUAUAUUAAGAGCUUUUUCAACUCUGCCAAUAAUUAGAGAAAUGAAAUUAAAAUAAUAAUGAGAAGUCACUACAGGAAUGGUAACAUGUAGAAAGUCAGAUAUUAUCAAGUGCUGAUGAAUCAGGAUGUGAGGAAAAGGACAACCAUGAGUUGGAAUGUAAACUGGUACAGGUAUUCCAGAGAGAGUUUGGCAGCACCCAUGAAAUUAAGUAUGUGAAUACCCUACAACCCAGUAAUCCCGCUUCUGGGCAUAUAUUCCAGAGAAAUUCUCAUACAGGUCCUAAGAAAAUAUAGUUGAGGUUGUUCAUUGCAGCACUGUUUGUGGUAGUGAGGAAUCAGAAGCAAUCAGGUGUUCAUCACUAUAGGACAGGAUAAACAAACUGUAUAUUCAUACGAUGGAAAACUACAAAACAAAAGUAAUAAACUAGAUUUACAUAUAGCCACAUGGAUAGGUCUCUAAAAUCCCCAGCAUUGAGAGAAAAAAGUAAGAAACAGAAUAGUAUUUAUAGUACAAUUCCAUUUACAGAAAUGUAAAACAACACUAUGUAUUUUCAUGGAUAUGCAUAUAAAUAAACAUAUGGAAGACGGAUUGAAAGUAUACAUACGUUAAUUACACUGGAGAGGCUCACUGAGUUAGGCAGGAGAAUGGGAGUAAGGAUAGGGACUGAUGGGGAAGAAGAAGAAGAUAAAGUAAAAGAAGAACUAAAGUAAAAGAGCAGCCUUCAGUGAACUGGUCAUAAUGUGCCAUAAAUUGCAGAUUAUGAUUAACUAAACUCUGAAGUCCACAACAAAUAAACCAAAACAACAGAUGUGAGGAUGGUUGGAGCUCCCUUGCAGUGGCAUGUGCCAGUAGGAUAAGGUCCACUGGUAGGAGCAGUGCAGGGAGCAGUGCCAACAGCAGCAUUCUAACCAGGCUGUUUUUAUGGUGGACCCUUAGCUGUGGUUCCUGAUGCCUGCCUUCCUCGCUCCCACUCCAUGUUCUCAGCCUGAUUCUCUAGACUUCCGUGAGCUACCUGAUAACUUCAUAAUAAAUCUCUUUUCUAGGCUGGGUGCAGCGGCUCACACCUGUAAUCCCAGCACUUUGGGAGGCCCAGGCAGGCAGAUCGCCUGAGGUUGGGAGUUCGAGACCAGCCUGACCAACAUAGAGAAACCCUGUCUGUACUAAAAAUACAAAAAAUUAGCCAGGCAUGGUGGCACAUGCCUAUAAUCCCAGCUACUCGGGAGGCUCAGGCAGGAGAAUUACUUGAACCCAGGAGAUGGAGGUUGCAGUGAGCUGAGAUUGCACCAUUUUGAGACAGAGUCUUGCUCUUUCACCCAGGCUGGAGUACAGUGGUGCGAUCUCAGCUCACUGCAACCUCUGCUUCCAGGGUUCAAGCGAUUCUCCUGCUUCAGCCUCCUGAGUAGCUGGGACUACAGGUGCACGCCACCACGCCUGGCUAAUUUUUGUAUUUUUAGUAGAGAUGGGGUUUCACCAUGUUGUCCAGGAUGGUCUCCAUCUCUGGACCUCCUGAUCCGCCUGCCUCAGCCUCCCAAAUUGCUGGGAUUACAGGCGUGAGACACUGCACCUGGCCACAUCGUACAUUUUGUUGGAGAACAUCCUCGAGUAACUUCUUAAGAAAGGUAAAUUUUAGGGUCUUUACAUAUCUGAAUAUGUAGUCAUUGUUUUACCUUCAUAUUCCAAUGAUAGUUUGACUUUAGAAUUCUAUGUUAGAAACAAUUUUUCCUCUGAAUUUUGAAGAUACUGCUUUAGCCUGUAGUGUCACUGAUUAAAAGUCACAUGCUAAUAUUAUUCUCAUUCCUUUGCUGGCAACCUGUUUUCUCUACAUCUGGAAGCUUAAUUUUUUUUUCUUCAUACUUAGUGUUUUGAAAUGUCACAAUCAUGUGCCCAGCAGUGGGGUUUUCCCUCGUCUACUUUGCUGGGCACCUGGUGGGUGGGCCCUUUCAAUCUGAAGACUUGUGUCCCCCUGCUCUGAGAAGUUGCUGUUUUAUUUCUUUGCUUACUUUCUCCGUUCUUUCUAGAACUCCUGUUAGUUGGAUAUUGGAUUUCCUGGAUGAUUAUCUUCUCACAUAUGUAUUUUCCAUGUCUUUUGUUUUUUUAAUUCUAUAUUAUGGGACCUUGUUUUGACUUUAUCUUCUACUGGACACCUUUAUUUUGGCAGUCAUUUUUCAUUUCUCAGCAUUCUUAUUCUCCAAAGAUGCCUUUUCAUUGCAUCCUUUUCUUCUUUUUUUUAUGAAUGAAGUAUCGUCUGUGUAUGUGUACUUAAUAGAACUUUACUGGCGUCUUACAGAUAACAGAAGAUAAUUAUCAGGCCAGACAGGAAACAUUUCAAAGGAUACCAGAUAGAACCUCUCUGGGAGAAGGUCACUUAUGCCUUUCUGAGGGAGGCUGCCUACUGGCUGUCCCUCUCCAUAACCUCCCAGUUUCAUACCAUGUGUGGGCAAGAUUGUCUUCCACCACCCUAUGGUUCUCGCCAUGUGCUCCCUGCCUGCAAUCCAGAUCUCCAGCUCUCACCAUGGCAUCAAAGAGAGGAGGCCAUUUUCACAUUCUUCACUCCCAGGCCAACUGCAUUUCCUGCUCCCAUGUAACACUCCCCAUAUCAAUUUUCUUUCUGGGAUUCUAACACACCUGCCGCACAGUGGUGAUCUGGGCUCCGUAGCCCAUAAGAGACCAUCACAGUACUCAGCAGCACAUGUCACAGAGUAGGUUGUUUUAAAGUUAAAUAACCAUGUAUGUAGUAGGGCCAACAAUCCAGCCUCAUUCCUUUUUACAGUGCUUCCUCCAACAGGAGUCCAUAGCAUUUCAAACCUGCAUGUCUCCUGAUGUGGUCCCAAUGGGGUAUCUUCUGUGAGCAAAGGCCUGAGAAAAAAUAUGCACACAUACCUCUCAAAAACAAACAAUUUUCACUUUGGCAUUUUAGUCCCAACAUGAAUUGGGACUAAACAUGAAUCUAGUCCCAAUUCAUGUUUAGGAUAAAAAAUUAACUCAGUGGAAGCAUAGUACUGUAAAGGACACCCAGAUUAUAUCAGUACACAGAACAUUUAACAUUUUAAUCAUAGUGGAUAUUUGCUGAGUGCUUACUCUGUGGCAGGCACUUGAGUUACUUUCAUUUCAUAAACAAGGAAAAUGAAGCUCCCGGGUGUCAUUUGCCCAGGGUCACAGAGCUAAUAAAUGGCAGACAGGAAAUUGCACCAGGACUGUCUAACCACAGUCAACCCAUGUUAACUGCUGUACAGAGCUGUCCUGGUUUCCACCAGCCACAUUCAGGUUAAUAGUGAUAGCACAAUUUUCUCUAAGAUCAGUAGGUGGAUACCUGAGAUACCUCAGUCUAAGUAAAGAGCGUAUUCUGUCAAGCCGUCUGGAGCUGUGACAGCCAUCUUGUGACCAUGUGGGGAUGAGCACGAGGAAGAAGACAACAUGUGAAGGAAGAAAGUCAGAAAGAGCCCAAUUUCUUGAUGGCAUCAUUGAGCAGCUGAACCCAUGCCACAGUUCCUGUUAACUUAAAAAAAUAAAUAAAGCCAUAUGUGUUUAAGCCACUAUCAGUUGAGUUUUUUGUUACUUGUAGCUGAAAUGAUUUUUAUUUGAUGGACCGCCAUGGUUCCUUGUCAUAUGCUUAUAUCAUUCUUUCUUUCUUUCUUUCGAGACAGAGUCUCGCUGCAAUGCCCAGGCUGGAGUGCAAUGGCACGAUCUCGGCUCACUAAAACCUCCACCUCCCAGGUUCAAGCAUUUCUCCUGCCUCAGCCUCCUGAGCAGCUGGUAUUACAGGCGCCUGCCACCACACCCAG
rnacentral:lncRNA from 10 species